rnacentral:rRNA from 1 species
UCGCCUGUUUAACAAAAACAUGGCUCUCUGCUAAUAAAAAAUAGAGAGUCGAACCUGCCCAGUGAAGAUUUUUAACGGCCGCGGUACUCUGACCGUGCAAAGGUAGCAUAAUCAUUUGCCUUAUAAUUGAAGGCUUGUAUGAAUGGUUUGACGAGAGCAGUACUGUCUCCUCUCUAAUUGAUAGAACUUAACUUUUAGGUGAAGAGGCCUAAAUAAAAUUGAAGGACAAGAAGACCCUGUCGAGCUUAAAAGAAAAGUAGAAAAUAGAACUAUAAUUAUCUUAAAUGUGUUACUACUAAAGCUUUUUGGUUGGGGCGACUAAGGAACAGAAAAAGCUUCUUUAAAUAAAUAUACCUGUUAGUGGUGAUCCAGUAAACCUGAUUAAAAGAAUUAGUUACCGCAGGGAUAACA